rnacentral:rRNA from 1 species
CCUACGGGUGGCAGCAGUGAGGAAUAUUGGUCAAUGGGCUUAAGCCUGAACCAGCCAAGUCGCGUGAGGGAAGACUGCCCUAUGGGUUGUAAACCUCUUUUGUCCGGGAGCAACGCCGGCUACGUGUAGCCGGACUGAGAGUACCUGCAGAAAAAGCAUCGGCUACCUCGGUGCCAGCAGCCGCGGUAAUAGGGAGGAUGCGAGCGUUAUCCGAAUGUAUUGGGUUAAAGGGGUGCGUGGGCGGAAUGCCAAUUAAGCGGGAAAAUCGCGGGGCUCAACUUCGCACUGCCGGUGAUACUGGCGUGCUUGAGUGGGCUAGAAGUAGGCGGAAUGCGUGGUGUAGCGGUGAAAUGCUUAGAGAUCACGCAGAACACCGAUUGCGAAGGCAGCAUACCGGCGCCCAACUGACGCUGAAGCACGAAAGCGUGGGUAGCGAACAGGAUUAGAUACCCCUGUAGUC